UGGGGAAUUUUGGACAAUGGGCGAAAGCCUGAUCCAGCAAUGCCGCGUGUGUGAAGAAGGCCUUCGGGUUGUAAAGCACUUUUGUCCGGAAAGAAAUCCUUGGCUCUAAUACAGUCGGGGGAUGACGGUACCGGAAGAAUAAGCACCGGCUAACUACGUGCCAGCAGCCGCGGUAAUACGUAGGGUGCAAGCGUUAAUCGGAAUUACUGGGCGUAAAGCGUGCGCAGGCGGUUUGCUAAGACCGAUGUGAAAUCCCCGGGCUCAACCUGGGAACUGCAUUGGUGACUGGCAGGCUAGAGUAUGGCAGAGGGGGGUAGAAUUCCACGUGUAGCAGUGAAAUGCGUAGAGAUGUGGAGGAAUACCGAUGGCGAAGGCAGCCCCCUGGGCCAAUACUGACGCUCAUGCACGAAAGCGUGGGGAGCAAACAGGAUUAGAUACCCUGGUAGUCCACGCCCUAAACGAUGUCAACUAGUUGUUGGGAUUCAUUCCUUAGUAACGUAGCUAACGCGUGAAGUUGACCGCCUGGGGAGUACGGUCGCAAGAUUAAAACUCAAUGAAUUGACGGGGUCAUAGCUGUUUCCU
rnacentral:rRNA from 1 species